CGACGAUUGAGCUUCCUUGCAUGUCGUGUCCACAUUCAAUAAACCAGUUGUUUUGUGUGAUUUACAUUCAUCCACGUCGAUGGAUCAUCAAAAUUUGAUAGCGGAGGGUGAUAAUGUCAUACUGAAGAAAGAUAAAACCUUGAGAGUGUACAGAGCUCUUAAAAAAGAGAAAGCGGUUCUGGAGAAAAGGCAUUUUUCUCUUGCCCCCGUCAUUGGUCAUCCCUAUGGUUCAACAUGGGAGCUUCAGGGAAACAAUCUUGUACAAGUUCUUGAGAAGACAACAUCCCAAGACUUGGCUCAACAGAUAGAUAAAGGAGGUGCCGAUAAUAGAGGUAUAUUUGCUGAUGACUCUUCCCAAAAGCUUGAUAAAGAUGAUAUCAUGGAUCUCAAGGGACAAGGGAAGAGUGGACAGGAGAUAAUUGACCAAUUGAUUGAGAAUAGCUCUUCCUUCAAUGAGAGAACUGUAUAUUCCAAAGCAAAGUACCUCAAAAAGAAAAGAAACAAGCAUAUCCUAAGAUUUGUGGUACUUCGGCCCUGUACAAGACUCAUGUGCGAGAUGUAUUUCAACAGAGCACCAUCAAAAGUCAUACAAAUCCGCAUUGACACAAUGGCCCAGCUCCUGACAGCCGCCAAUGUUCAAUCUGGAAUGAAAGUGAUGGUUUUAGAACACUGUCAUGGUCUGCUGGUGGCAGCCGUCAUGGAAAGACUUGGAGGUAAAGGGACAGUUGUUCAUUUUCAUUCUGAAGACGGGCCUAUGAAUUCCGCACUCCAAGCUUUCAACUUUCCACCAGAAAGCAAAGAAAUGAUAAGGCCAUUCAAUCUCAGAGAUGUCCAUGAAAAACUCAUCCUAAAGAAACCAGUCGAGACGAUUAGUGCAGACUCUAAAGAUUUAAAUACAAGCCAGAAAGAAGAUGAAGUGGCAAACAAAGGAUGUGAUCUUUCAGAGGAACCAGUUGCUAUGGAAACAGACUCAAACGAUAACCCAGAUGUUGUCGCUCGUCAAACUAAUGCUGCAGAAUCAUCAGCCACACCAGAGAAAUCUAAGGACCUUACCGCCAGCGAGACAGAAAACAAUGUAACCGAAAAAGAAUGUGAUCAUUUAAAAGAACCUGUUGCCUUGGUAACAGACUCUAGCAAAAAUGGUUUAUCAGAUUCUGUUACUGGUGAGAAUGAUGCAGCAAUAGCCAAACCAGAGGAAGGAAAUGGAGUUGUGUCAGUAGAUGCAGAAGAUGGCAUCACUGGAACCAGUGAAAAGGUUUCCAUAGCAACAGAUGCAGCUGAUAAGCAAGAUGAGCAAACAUCAAGUGUUACUCUAUUACCUACAGACAAAGCACAGAAGAGAACAGCCAGGUUUAUGAAAUUUCUGGAUUCAGACGCCGAGACGAGAAGAGAAAGAAAAAGGCAGAAGCUUGAUCAAAUGGCCAAAACAACCGAGCUGCUGCUGGAGAAAAAUAUGGAUACGUUAUUGAUUGCAACAAAGUUCCACCCUGCCCCUAUUCUUCUAGCGCUCAUUGACCAUCUAGGUUUAUCAAGGCCUUUUGCUGUCUUCUCUCCCUAUAAAGAGGCUCUUGUAGAAUGUUAUGUGAAGCUUCGUGAGAUGGGAGGAGUUAUCAAUCUCAGCAUAACAGAAACAUGGCAUAGAGAAUACCAAGUACUACCAGACAGGACACACCCCAUGAUUACAAUGAACCAUGCAGGAGGAUACAUACUCACUGGGAUGCAUGUAGGAAAGUGAGAGAAGACCUCAGUCAAGACUGCAAGCAAAGCCUCCUUUUGAUGCGAUGCAGCUAAGAAAACUUAGCAAUACUUUUCAUCUUUUUUUAGACAUGAUGAGACAAAUAGCCCCAGUUUAUGAAGGUGCAUUAUUUGCUUCAAGUUUUAAGAAUUGACCAAAGUUGCAUUGAAAAUGAUAGUAGCAGGCUUUCGCAAAUGGAGAUGCGUGCCUCGAGUGCGUGGAGGUCAGUCAACUGUACACAAACUUCCCAUCUCGGCCAAUUCUUAGUUUUGCAUUUGUGUAUACAGAAAUGCCAGUUUGUUUACAGAAGUUACAGCAUAAUAACACAUGAACUUUGCUAGCGCUAUGCAUGUAUUUUUAUGCAUGCCAUGCAUGAAUCUUUUUACUUGUUUACCACUCAUGAAUGGAAUUGGCCCCCCCCCCAGGUCCAUGCCGAGGUAUCGUGGCCGAAUUGAAUACUAGUUUGACUCAGUACUGUUGUACAUUUCGGCGGUAUGGGGGAAUUUCUUGAGAUUGGUUUACCCCCUGCUGAGAUUUUUCCGGAUGAUCCAUUCCAUCCUGUUUGCGAAAGCCAACUAUUUUUUUGUGUGUCAUAGUUGGUUUUGUUAUACCAUGUCAGUUGCGGUAAAAAUCAUGAGCCACAACCCGUGAGAUAUUGUUUGUCUAUGUUAAUGGGGACAGAGCCUGUUUGCUGUAUUAUUUUAAAGACUUUAUUCCUGAUGCAAUUUUUUUUAUAUGGGCGACAAACAAAAUCCUUCCUCUGCAGCCUUUGUACACCUCAUUUUCAAUUGACUUUGUACACUAAUAUAGGUGAGCAUUGUUGAUUAGCUAUGUUGUGUCAUGUCUGAAUGAUCCUCAAAUCUGCAUUUAAAGGGGUAAUUAAUCUGACUAGAGUAUCCAAGCACUUCAUGGCAAGGUUGGAAUAGAGCUUAAUGUACACAACUUAUUUUUAACAACUUUGACUCUUUUUUAAACAUAUAUAUUGCUUAAACUUGGUUGGUAUUUUUUAUUCAAAUGAUAGAUUCAACUCAAAUUUUCUCUCAUUAAUCCUACAAGACCUGUCAUACUGGGUUUUUUCAAUAUAUUUGAGAAAUAAUUUCCAUGAAUAUUGCACUAAAUUUCAGGAUUGAUUGAUUUUGUUUGUGUGAAUCAAUGCCCAGUUUCCUCUGAUUAGCCUUUCAAGAUCAUGCACUAUUUACCAACAGUUUAUACCACCAUUAGUUAUUCUGAUUAAAGUUCUAGAACCAGUUUUGAUCCAAUGUUGAAGAGGAUUGAAUACCUAGUAACAAGUACAUUUCUUGUUCGAUUUUAUUACUGAUAUUAUUACCCCGGCUAAAGCCGGGGUAAUGAUAGCAGUGCUUUGUAUCCUCAGGCAAAAGGCGCUUUAUAAAUGCAGCUAUUAUUAGUAUUAUUCUCUGGUUUAUCAUACAAGGCUGUGCACAACACUACAUAUUCAGUAAAUUUGUUGUGAUUGGGAUUUGAAUAGCAGAAUGAUAACUUUCAAGUUUUUCAGAUUUAAUGAAUACUCCCAUGAAUAAUUCUUCAAGUCUUUAGUGCAUAGCUGCAAUUAUGACCGAAAAUUCUGGACAUCCAGUUCUAUUUCUUGUUCAGGUACAAUGUUACUUUAAUAGUGAACAUGUUUUGUACAAAAAAGCCAACAUAAGACCUUUCAUUAAGAGAUUUCUUUAUCUGAAAUGGAGUGUUAGAGAUUUUUACAAUAUAUUAUGGGUAUAAAAAAAAAAAUUAAUUUCAAUGUAAUUUAUCCUAAAAGAAAAACUUGCAUAAGCCUACAUUUUAACAAACUUUUUAUAAGAUUUGAAAUUUUUAACUUUUUACUGAAACAUAGAGUAAAACCAGAUUCUUGAAUAAAUUCAGAUAUAUACAAUACCAAAGCCCUAAGGUUUGGUACAUAUACAAACUGGUAUUUCUUAUUGUCUGCAUGAAAUGGUUGCAUUUAUUUAGCAAAGAGUGGCUCAUAAAGAAACAGAACACUAUUUGAAUUUAAUCAAGAGUUGGAACUGGAGAUUUUAUAAUUCGUUUUUUAAAAGUAAUUUUUGUGUUUUAUAUAUUCAUGACUGAAAAAAUGCAUUCCUAAAGGGAAAUUGGUAAAAAUGCAUUAAAAAGAAAUUUUGACAAAUCCUCUUAUUGACUAAAUAUAACUCGGGAACAAAGAGCACAAGGAAAUUACAAGGCUGUGUUUUUAUGUCAUGUUCAGUUUAUUAAUUUAUUUUCGUAUUGAUUCAGUUUUCAUCAGGUAAGUGAAGUUGAAAUACCCAGGCCCCAUUUUAUAAAAUCUUGCUACGAUAGCAGCUCUUUCUAGAAUGUCAACUUUCAUUGGAAGAGCCAACCAGGAAGUAUGGUUUUAAUUGUUGUCAUGGUAGUUGACAUUCCAGUAAGACUUGCUAUCAAAUCAACUUUUUUAUGAGCCCAAAACAACUUUUAUAUUGACAAAAAGUAGAAUAAAUUGAGUUAUCACAAUUAUCUGUUCACCUUAAUCAAAUUGGACUGGCAAGUCCAUUAUUGUUAAAUGUAGUUUUAAAAAUUAAUUUAGAUUUUAUGAGAACUUGUUCGUUUUUCAAGGACAUGUGUAUUGGCUAUGGAUAAGAUUUGUAUUGGACCCUCAUUUUUUUUAUUCAAAAUUCAAUUUUUAUUCAUUCCAAGCAAAAGAGUAGUUAAAAAUUUUCAAUUACUGAGUGUCUUUUCUAAAUCAUAACAAACAUGCAAAAUGUUGAAGAUCAGGCUCUAUCAGAGUUAUUAAGUAAUACUGAUAGGACAAAGCAGGAUGUACCUUUUGUUCCCAUGUACCUAGAGAAGAUGCAAAGAACUGGGUGACCUGCAGAAAAAUUGUACAUGUGUUAACUGCAUUUGUCAGUAUUAAAAGGACUGCUAUUUUAUGGAAAA
rnacentral:misc_RNA from 1 species